CACAGACACACACUCACACACACAUACUCACAUGCACACACACACUGACAGACACACAUACUCACACACACACUGACAGAACCACACACACAAACUCACAUGCACACACACACUGACAGACACAUACUCACAUGCACACACACACUGACAGACACACAUACUCACACACACACUGACAGACAUACUCACAUGCACACACACACUGACAGACACACAUACUCACACACACACUGACAGACACACAUACUCACACACACACUGACAGACACACAUACUCACAUGUACACACACACACACAGAAAUUAAUAAUCUUAAUUAAAUUUAAAUUUCCCACCCAGCCUCCCUACCUGGAGAGCUGGCGUGGGUCUCUCAUUGGUGGUCCAGUGGGGCUGCUGGGAGGCGUGCGGCUGAAUUGGAUUCCGAGGUGGCG